AAUGAUCUUAGGCAAAUAACUUCUCCAAGCCCAGAGUCCCCAUCUACACUGGGGACAUUGUAGCAUUGUUGGUAAAGCUUAGCAAAGUAUUUCCAGAAAUAUGCCCGCCACACACAGUAGUCACUUAAUAAAUAUUUGUUCUUUCCUCUUUCUAAUCCCUGACCGCCCCUCUCAAAUGGAAACACCAGCCGUCAAGGACAUCACGAACAUUCUGAAAACUACAAGUCGGUCAGAAUUUAUUGGAGCCAAUGCUGAGGGUGAUGAGGGGCCCACAGUGGAACUUCUCCAUGGAUCAGCAACAGCGACAAUGGGGUUUCCAGACAUCUGGCAGGACCCAGAGAAUGAAUGAUAUGAAUAAAAAAAAAAAAUAAAAGUCUUUCUAAUUCAGUCCUUCAAGAUUGAGAAGCCCAAGAAAAUUCACAACGCAUGGCCUUCUCCAUCUAAACAUGUAUAGGGCCUUCAACUUCUAGCUUCCUCUUGGAUGCCCAGAGCUCCGAGAGUGCUGUUCUAUGGACCCCAGGAAGCUGCCACACCCCAAGCCUCUACCCUUCUUCUCCUCAGCUUCAGAACCUGCAUGUCUCUGGAAGUCAUUAAAGCUCUUCAGGAGCUUGUCCUGCCAGCCCCGCAAAUUUGCCCAGGAGAGCCCUAAGGAAGCCUUGAUUCGCGUGCAACCGCCCUCAUUCCUCAACCCACUCCAGGCCCCCCGCCUGGACAUCCCUGCUCCUCUUCACCAGCCCAGAGGAGGAGCGGAGCAUCUAAACCCUCUGCAGCACAGUUCCUAGAAACUGAAUGGCCUUUCCCAGCUCCCGACACUAAUAUGGCUAUUUAUAAAGCACAUUCUACGUUCGAGGCACUAAACGAAACUACUAAAUAUUAUGUGGAUAAUCUUUAUUCCUCCCAUCAGCCCUGAUUUAUAUCCAGGAAAGCAUCACUGAGUGCUUCCU
rnacentral:lncRNA from 1 species